GAGACAGUUCGGUCCCUAUCUGCCGUGGGUGUAGGAUACUUGAGAGGAGUUGCCCCUAGUACGAGAGGACCGGGGUGAACGAUCCACUGGUGGACCAGUUGUUAUGCCAAUAGCAGUGCUGGGUAGCUAUGAUCGGAAAGGAUAACCGCUGAAGGCAUCUAAGCGGGAAGCCCCCCUCAAAACAAGGUAUCCCU
rnacentral:rRNA from 1 species